CAGCUCGUNUCGUGAGAUGUUGGGUUAAGUCCCGCAANGAGCGCANCCCCUAUNUCUAGUUACUAACAGUCAGGCUGAGGACUCUAGAGAGACUGCCGGUGACAANCCGGAGGAAGGUGGGGACGACGUCAAAUCAUCAUGCCCUUUAUGUCCUGGGCUACACACGUGNUACAAUGGUCGGUACAACGGGCAGCCAACGAGCGAUCGUGAGCGAANCCCAAAAANCCGAUCCCAGUUNGGAUUGCAGGCUGCAANUCGCNUGCAUGAAGUCGGAGUUGCUAGUAAUCGCGGAUCAGAAUGCCGCGGUGAAUGCGUUCCCGGGUCUUGUACACACCGCCCGU
rnacentral:rRNA from 1 species